UACGAAGGGGGCUAGCGUUGUUCGGAAUCACUGGGCGUAAAGCGCACGUAGGCGGAUGUGCCAGUCAGGGGUGAAAUCCCGGAGCUCAACUUCGGAACUGCCUCUGAUACAGCACGUCUUGAGUCCGGAAGAGGUGGGUGGAAUUCCUAGUGUAGAGGUGAAAUUCGUAGAUAUUAGGAAGAACACCGGUGGCGAAGGCGGGUCUCUGGGCCGAUACUGACGCUGAGGAGCGAAAGCGUGGGGAGCGAACAGG
rnacentral:rRNA from 1 species